AUCGCUUCUCCGCCUUUUGGCUAAGAUCAAGUGUGGUAUCUGUUCUUAUCAGUUUAAAUACUACUUAGCACAUUGGUUUCAGUUUGGCUGUGGGGUCCUUCAUUGAACAAUUCUGAUGAAGUCAAAUUAACAAUUCCUUACGUUUUGUUUCUGCUUUUGGUACCUUGCUUAAGAGUUCUUUCCCAUACCAGGGUCAUAAAGUUAGCCUAU
ensembl:snRNA U2 U2 spliceosomal RNA